rnacentral:tRNA from 1 species
AGGAAACAAGGUGGGGAGUUCAUAGAGAAAAUGUGUCCCAGGAUUUCCGUACAAAUCUAUUUUCCCCGCGUUGACAUGGUGGGGGUCGUUGGUUCGAAUCCAAUCGCGCCUACCA